CUGCAAAGACUGAGGAACUAGCCCUGGGUGACCUCACCAGGCAGGAAGAGUGGGAACACAGCAGUGAUUUAUCAAGUUGGUGACUGUUAGGCGUUUUCGCUGUGUGUCUCUUCACUGGCAUCUGAUGUCCAAAUCAAUGUCAUAUUGGUGGUGUAAUCUCUGCCCUGGUCAGCUCAGCUGAUUUUGCCUCACAGAGAUGAAGGAGCUGUCUUGAGAAGCAAAAUAAGCACCACAUUUGAAGCUGUAACUGGCUCUCUCAUUACUCGCAGGGGACUGCACCAGCAUAUUUCAACUGGCAUCUAAAGAAUGAGCAUAAAGAGGCUGGAGAGAUGGCUCGGCAGUUAAUAGCUCGGCUGUCCUUGCAGAGAACCUGUGCGUGGUUCCCAGCACCCCCAUGGACGCUAACAAUCAUCUUCUGUAACUCCAGUCCUAGGGAGUUCCAUGUUCUCUUGUGACCUCUGCAUGUGCCAGGCGUGCACCUGAUGUGCAUGCAUGUUUGCAACACACACUUACAUACACAAAUUAACUAACUAAUUAAAGAAAGUGUGGAUAAAGCAA
rnacentral:lncRNA from 1 species